UUUUUUUUCCUUUUCCUGACUCUUUCUUUCCUCCCUCGACGAACAGAUGAGAACAGAUGAAUCUCUUCUGAUUCUUUAGUUUUCAUAGAUUUCAAUCGAUUCACCUUGAUUUUUCCGGCAUAAAGAUGUAAGAUCGUUUACUCUAAAAACGAUUUCUGGUUCCAAUCGUUAUUAAUCUCGAUCUGACGUUUCGGAUUUGACGGCAAUUGAUCUCCGAUGGACUUACGGGGACGGCGAGAGGACGGGGAGGGGACGCGAAGGGGACGGCGAAGGGCAUCGGCAAGCUCUUGGCAGAAGAUUUUGCUUUGAAGAGAUUUAGUCUCACAAGAAAAGUGUGCACAAACUUAAGAGGAUUGGAGAUGUGCUCACAGUCGUUGUUGCUGCAGCCAGCAGGAACGAAGUAGCAAUAUAUAGAGAAGUUUGUGCAAUUCAAUCGCUUGGUACUUGGUACUUCAACAAACUGAGAGUCUAAGACUCAUAACGAAAGAGGCUGUUCCAACUGCAAAGGGCCAACCUUUGGCUGAUGAGUAUGGAAUCAAUUUCUUUGAGACGAGUGCAAAAACAAACCUAAAUGCAGAGGUAAGAACUGCAGGAAUCUAGUACAAUUACUCGCUCUUCAUACCCUUAUACUGACAUUAUACCUGAAUGUUGUGUUGUUUUUAUUCUGAAGUUGUAUUACCUGAGGUGACUGGAUCGUAUGGUAUGUCUGUGAAAAUGAUUGGUUAUUGAAACAUGCUUUCUAGUGUGGUGAUGAUGGAAUGAUAUGAUAUGAUGAUGGAUGCAAGGUGUUUCAAUUACCCUUA